UUCCACAGAAAUGCCAGGACUGCAGAAAUACCUUUAUACUCAAAUUUCAGUGGAAAAAAUCUGAAAUCUAUUGAAAUAUUUGACUGUUGUUGGUGCGUCAUGGGAGGAGUCGGUAGAAGAUAGCCUCUCAUACGAUAUAAAUAAUGUUGCAGCAUCACAGAACAUCAGACUGGAAGCUCCAAGUCAAGAGGACUCGCACUAAACUCAGCUGAUCAUCACAGCUUCACCAGGUUGGAGAAAUGGCCUCUGAUACCAAGAAGAUUGUUGCUCUGGGUCGACCUUUCACCCUGGGAAUGCUCUAUGAUGCUCGUGCAGAUAAACUGAUCCCAGAUUCUUCUGGGACAUACUCUGGGGAAUCAUCUUCGUCAGCCUCGAGACAAGACAAGACAAGACAAGACAACUUUAUUUGUACAGCCCAUUUUUACAAGCAGUUUGUCUCAAAGGGCUUAACAUAACAUCAGCAACACCCUCUGCCCUUCGACCCUCACAUCGACUAAGGAGA